rnacentral:lncRNA from 1 species
AUCGCUCCUUCUGAGGAGAAGGUAAUCAAUCUGAGUCCUCGCCGUCGAACUCUUGAAGGUGGCCAAAUGCUCCUCCCUCUUCUGAAAUGUCGAGUUCGCAAUCAGAAGCUCGGAAGCCUUGGCGAAAUCAAGCAGCGAAGUGCCUCCUCCGUUCCUAACCCCAAAGCCGAAGCCACCGUGCACCUCAUCAUAGUCACCAGCAUCAGCCCCAAACU